rnacentral:rRNA from 1 species
UGCGUAGGCGGAUUGGCAAGUCAGAAGUGAAAUCCAUGGGCUUAACCCAUGAACUGCUUUUGAAACUGUUAGUCUUGAGUGAAGUAGAGGUAGGCGGAAUUCCCGGUGUAGCGGUGAAAUGCGUAGAGAUCGGGAGGAACACCAGUGGCGAAGGCAGGUCUCUGGGCCGUUACUGACGCUGAGGAGCGAAAGCGUGGGGAGCGAACA